rnacentral:rRNA from 1 species
UACGUAGGAGACGAGCGUUGUCCGGAGUUACUGGGCGUAAAGGGCGCGCAGGCGGCCCUUGAAGUCAGGCGUGAAAGCCCCGGGCUCAACCUGGGAGGUGCGCUUGAUACUCGAGGGCUUGAGUACGGGAGAGGAGAGCGGAAUUCCUGGUGUAGAGGUGAAAUUCGUAGAUAUCAGGAGGAACACCGGUGGCGAAAGCGGCUCUCUGGCCCGAUACUGACGCUCAUGUACGAAAGCGUGGGGAGCAAACAGG